GAUAUACUCCUCUAUCCGGAAAUACUUGUCAUCAAAAUGGAUAAAAGAAGAUGUAUCUAGAUGUGUUUUAGUUGUAGAUACAUUUUUUUAUUCAUUUUGAUGACAAAUAUUUUCAGACGGAGAGAGUAGUAA
rfam:Triticum aestivum genome assembly, contig: Triticum_aestivum_CS42_TGACv1_scaffold_129470_2BL